GUGAGGAAUAUUGGUCAAUGGCCGAGAGGCUGAACCAGCCAAGUAGCGUGAGGGAUGACGGCCCUAUGGGUUGUAAACCUCUUUUAUACGGGGAUAAAGUGAGCCACGUGUGGUUCAUUGCAGGUACCGUACGAAUAAGGACCGGCUAAUUCCGUGCCAGCAGCCGCGGUAAUACGGAAGGUCCGGGCGUUAUCCGGAUUUAUUGGGUUUAAAGGGAGCGUAGGCCGCCUUAUAAGCGAGCAGUGAAAUGUAGAGGCCCAACCUCUGAAUUGCUGUUCGAACUGUAUGGCUUGAGUACGCACGAGGUAGGCGGAAUUUGUGGUGUAGCGGUGAAAUGCUUAGAUAUCACAAAGAACCCCGAUUGCGAAGGCAGCUUACCGGAGCGCAACUGACGCUGAAGCUCGAAAGUGCGGGUAUCGAACAGGAUUAGAAACCCUGGUAGUCC
rnacentral:rRNA from 1 species